GGCCUGGCCGGGCGGUCCGUCUUUGGCGAGUACUGUCUGCUGUCGGGUCUUCCUUCUGGUGAACCAGUAUGCCCUUUAUUGGGUGUGUUGGGGAGCCAGGACCAUUACCUUGAAAAAAUUAGAGUGUUUAAAGCGGGCUAUUGCUUGAAUAGAUUAGCAUGGAAUAAUAGAAUAGGACGUUGUAGUUCUAUUUUGUUGGUUUCUAGGACCACCGUA
rnacentral:rRNA from 1 species